CGUAGUCGAUGGGAAACGGGUUAAUAUUCCCGUACUUGGUGUUACUGCGAAGGGGGGACGGAGAAGGCUAUGUUGGCCGGGCGACGGUUGUCCCGGUUUAAGCGUGUAGGUGUGUGUUCCAGGUAAAUCCGGUUCACUUUAACACUGAGGCGUGACGACGAGGCACUACGGUGCUGAAGCAACAAAUGCCCUGCUUCCAGGAAAAGCCUCUAAGCAUCAGGUAACAUCAAAUCGUACCCCAAACCGACACAGGUGGUCAGGUAGAGAAUACCAAGGCGCUUGAGAGAACUCGGGUGAAGGAACUAGGCAAAAUGGUGCCGUAACUUCGGGAGAAGGCACGCUGACACGUAGGUGAAGUGAUUUACUCAUGGAGCUGAAGUCAGUCGAAGAUACCAGCUGGCUGCAACUGUUUAUUAAAAACACAGCACUGUGCAAACACGAAAGUGGACGUAUACGGUGUGACGCCUGCCCGGUGCCGGAAGGUUAAUUGAUGGGGUCAGCGCAAGCGAAGCUCCUGAUCGAAGCCCCGGUAAACGGCGGCCGUAACUAUAACGGUCCUAAGGUAGCGAAAUUCCUUGUCGGGUAAGUUCCGACCUGCACGAAUGGCGUAAUGAUGGCCAGGCUGUCUCCACCCGAGACUCAGUGAAAUUGAACUCGCUGUGAAGAUGCAGUGUACCCGCGGCAAGACGGAAAGACCCCGUGAACCUUUACUAUAGCUUGACACUGAACAUUGAGCCUUGAUGUGUAGGAUAGGUGGGAGGCUUUGAAGUGUGGACGCCAGUCUGCAUGGAGCCGACCUUGAAAUACCACCCUUUAAUGUUUGAUGUUCUAACGUGGACCCGUAAUCCGGGUUGCGGACAGUGUCUGGUGGGUAGUUUGACUGGGGCGGUCUCCUCCUAAAGAGUAACGGAGGAGCACGAAGGUUGGCUAAUCCUGGUCGGACAUCAGGAGGUUAGUGCAAUGGCAUAAGCCAGCUUGACUGCGAGCGUGACGGCGCGAGCAGGUGCGAAAGCAGGUCAUAGUGAUCCGGUGGUUCUGAAUGGAAGGGCCAUCGCUCAACGGAUAAAAGGUACUCCGGGGAUAACAGGCUGAUACCGCCCAAGAGUUCAUAUCGACGGCGGUGUUUGGCACCUCGAUGUCGGCUCAUCACAUCCUGGGGCUGAAGUAGGUCCCAAGGGUAUGGCUGUUCGCCAUUUAAAGUGGUACGCGAGCUGGGUUUAGAACGUCGUGAGACAGUUCGGUCCCUAUCUGCCGUGGGCGCUGGAGAACUGAGGGGGGCUGCUCCUAGUACGAGAGGACCGGAGUGGACGCAUCACUGGUGUUCGGGUUGUCAUGCCAAUGGCACUGCCCGGUAGCUAAAUGCGGAAGAGAUAAGUGCUGAAAGCAUCUAAGCACGAAACUUGCCCCGA
rnacentral:rRNA from 1 species